ensembl:lncRNA
AACCAGGGUCACUUUCUGUUCAUGAGAGUGUCAAAGGCGUUUGCUCUCCAGAUCGUUAAUCUGGCCUAGUUGUCAAAGUUUCAAGCUUUUAUUAAGUCACUCUGUUUUUGUCUUUAUACACGCUAUUACAAUUCAAUGGUUCUACAGUUUCCUAAUACAUCAAUAAUGCUCAAUCAAUCCUUAAUGCGCUAUACUGUGCCAAGUCAUAUUUAAAAAGGUAAAAAGCUUAACACACUUCUUUAUGACUCUUUAAACAAGCAAACACCCAUAUAUUACCUUGAAGCUCUGUUCCCUUGGUCCUUCCCGAAACUGGUCUUUAUAAGAGUAGUAAUAUUUGUGCAGCCUCUGCUGUUAUACGACUAUAAUCUUCUUAUUUAGUCCGAAUGGUUUUUACUGCCUACUGUUUAGAUAUUGAUUCCUUUUUAUUGACUCUUGGCUAUACGAGGCUUUAACUAUUUCUGGGCUUUUCCAAUCUUGCCGAACUGCGAUUGUUACUGACACACCAAAGAUGGAAUGUUGUUGCUAUCAAGAUUUCUCCUCGCGCUGUUGAGGGGUGAAGUCCUCUCGUACACAAACUUGUUCACUUAUUCUUUUUAUAAGGAGUGAGCUUCCAAUGUACAACACAAUUCUUUAAGAUAUACCAGUCAAUAGUUUUGCUCGCGCCUUGAUGUCAAAGUAGUCAAUACAAACAGAGUAUAGUACAAGUAAUUUACCUGGUCUGAUGAUUCUCUAUGAUGUCCAAUCAUAUAGGUUGAGGAUCAUGCCUUGGCACUGAUCAUCCUCCUUUUAUACCUCUUUUAGACACUCAGUUUGGGGGAAGAUGUUCGGAGUAGAAUCUAUCUUAACACAGUGUGCCAUUACAUUACGUAUUAAGUAGCACUUAGUCCAAUGUUAGUUCCUUCAGCACUGGUGCCCCUAGGUAUUCAUCCGUUGGGCAUUGUCUUGGUAGGUCGGUUCUUAUACCAUCUCUCCUCAGUCUCCCUGUAGGUCAGUUCAUACCACUCCUCCUCAGUCUCCCUGUAGGUCGGUUCUACCACUCCUUCUCAGUCUCCCUGUAGGUCGGUUCAUACCACUCCUCCUCAGUCUCCCUGUAGGUUGGUUCCCUGUAGGUCGGUCUACCACCUCCUCAGUCUCCCUGCUAGGGUUGGUCACCACCCUCCACCCCAGGUCGGUUCAUACCACCCUCCUCAGUCUCCCUGUAGGUCGGUUCUACCCACUCCUCCUCAGUCUCCCUGUAGGUCGGUUCAUAC